rnacentral:lncRNA from 1 species
UGGUCCUAGAAACCAUCCUCUAGAAGUAGGUUUCUGCCUUGUAUCUGGGAUGUUUGAAAUCCAAGCUUUGAGAAUGUGAAGGCCAGAUGUUUUAUCCUGCUAUGUUAAGUCAUCUUGACAUGUUGCCAUGAAAUGGAAACAACUGCUCAUUUUAAUAUUGCUCCAUAUCUUUAUUACAAGAAUGAAGCUGAUUCCUCUUAUGACAUUGAAAGUAAAGAUGAGUGUAUCAUUCAUCCUUUGAACAUUUUUCUGCCCCUAUGAGUAAAAGAUAUAUUCCAUUGUAUGUGGGGGAAAUCGGCAUGAAGGAUUGACUGGAUUAUUAUUUGCUAAGGGAUUAGAAAAGAGUCUGGCACAUGGUAAGGACUAUAAAUGUUGGUUAAGUUAAACUAUAGUACUUGGCAGUUUAUGAGUUUUGGAUAUAUGAUAUACUUUUUAACUC